GGCAUAGCUCAGUGGAAGAGUGUCUGCUUUGCAUGCAGAAUGCCCUGGAUUCAAUCUAUGGCACCCCUAGGUAUGACCA